CCUACGGGAGGCAGCAGUGAGGAAUAUUGGUCAAUGGGCGGAAGCCUGAACCAGCCAAGUCGCGUGAGGGAUUAAGGCCCUAUGGGUCGUAAACCUCUUUUGUCAGGGAGCAAGGUCGUCCACGUGUGGGCGUAUGGAGAGUACCUGAAGAAAAAGCAUCGGCUAACUCCGUGCCAGCAGCCGCGGUAAUACGGAGGAUGCGAGCGUUAUCCGGAUUUAUUGGGUUUAAAGGGUGCGUAGGCGGGCUUUUAAGUCAGCGGUAAAAAUUCGGGGCUCAACCCCGUCCGGCCGUUGAAACUGGGGGCCUUGAGUGGGCGAGAAGAAGGCGGAAUGCGUGGUGUAGCGGUGAAAUGCAUAGAUAUCACGCAGAACCCCGAUUGCGAAGGCAGCCUUCCGGCGCCCUACUGACGCUGAGGCACGAAAGUGCGGGGAUCGAACAGGAUUAGAUACCCCUGUAGUC
rnacentral:rRNA from 1 species